rnacentral:rRNA from 1 species
AUCUAUGGCCAUGCCACUCUGAACUUGCCUGUUCUUGUCUGAUUGUGGAAGCUAAGUAGGGUCAGGCCUGGUUAGUACUCGGAUGGGAAACCUUACUUACAAUAAGUACUUACAACUCCUUGGAAUACCAGGUGUUGUAAGUG